rnacentral:lncRNA from 1 species
AGUCCCUACAGGUCCAUACAAGAGAUUACAUCUGGCCUCAUCCGGGGACACCAGUGGGAUCCCAAGAAGUUGUUCAUCCGCUGAUCAGGACCAAGCAUCCGCCAAGUUUCAGAGCCCUAAAAUGAGAAGUGAUGAAGCCAGCACCGCGCCACCUAGUGGUGGGAUUGUGCCGCUGACUUCAACGCUGCCUUGGAUCCCUGGGAGUUGUGUGCAAACUGCUAGGUAAGGCUGAGGCCGGUCGGAGGAUGCGUCCUUGUGCCAAGCACUUAGGAUGAAACCCAGGGGCUGGCACAUGCUAGGCAGGUGCUCAUCACAGAUCUGCAGCCCAGCCUGACCUUUGUGUUAUAGGAGCCUCGGUGGGUUCUGUUUUACAAAACUUUUUUUUUUUAAGUACCCAUUUAUCCAGAUGCAGACGAGUGCUUGGAGCAUUUCCAGGACGCUCCAGCUGCGGGCGGCGCCUCGCGAGUCCCCGGCUUGGGUCCCCGUCCUCGCGCGAGUUGGGGGCUACGCGCGCAACAGGGCUGGGCUGUGAUUGGCCUGAACCAGAAAGGAGUUCCGCCCAUCUGACUAGCGAUUGGUGAAAAUGUGAGUAUGACUGGCAAUCUGACUAAUGAGAAGUGCGAGGAGGCCCUCUAGGGGCAGAGCGCCAAGAGAUGGCUGUGCGCGCGGAGCCAGCUGGACCGGACCGCUAUGAUGGGAAAGGAGGGUGACCCUGCUGUGGUACAGCUUCUAAAGGCCGAGUGCCUUGGUUCACUGCUGACUUCUAAACGUUGGUAGUUAUUUAGGAAUUUCACAUUGCCAUUAAUGGACCUAAUUGGAGUUUGGGACGCAGGGGGUGGGGGGCGUUUGUGGGUUUUGGAAUCAGUGAUGUCAGAGCUGGAAAUAUUUGUCUUCUUCUAG